GAAUCCUCUUCAACCAUGAAUUGAAAUAAUCUGCAUACAAAUGAAUAAAGUGGAUUAAUUUCUCUCUCUCUCUUCUCUAUUCUGACAGAAGAAAUGAUCUCAUGGGCAGGAUCCAGUAACCACCAGGCAAAGACCAAAGGAAAACCACCGAAUCAAAGAGCCCGUAGGCACACCACUGCAGAUGAUGACUAAUAAGGAAGACAGUCCAGAUACGUGACUGUGGAUUUUCACCUUAACGCGAUGCUGGUAACCUGAACCCCACAUGAACACCUGUGAGCAGCAAGCAAAGGCGAACUGUGCUGACAAACUGCAGGAGGAAAUGUACAACAAUCUGAGCGAGCUGAUUGGUGGAAAGCCUAGCAGAAUGCCGAUGACUUGCAGCUUUCCGUGCGAAUAUUCAUCAGCAGGUAACCCAUCCACAGCCCACUGACACAGACAGAUC